AGACCCGAAACCCGGUGAUCUAGCCAUGGGCAGGUUGAAGGUUGGGUAACACUAACUGGAGGACCGAACCGACUAAUGUUGAAAAAUUAGCGGAUGACCUGUGGCUGGGGGUGAAAGGCCAAUCAAACCGGGAGAUAGCUGGUUCUCCCCGAAAGCUAUUUAGGUAGCGCCUCGUGAAUUCAUCUCCGGGGGUAGAGCACUGUUUCGGCUAGGGGGCCAUCCCGGCUUACCAACCCGAUGCAAACUGCGAAUACCGGAGAAUGUUAUCACGGGAGACACACGGCGGGUGCUAACGUCCGUCGUGAAGAGGGAAACAACCCAGACCGCCAGCUAAGGUCCCAAAGUCAUGGUUAAGUGGGAAACGAUGUGGGAAGGCCCAGACAGCCAGGAUGUUGGCUUAGAAGCAGCCAUCAUUUAAAGAAAGCGUAAUAGCUCACUGGUCGAGUCGGCCUGCGCGGAAGAUGUAACGGGGCUAAACCAUGCACCGAAGCUGCGGCAGCGAACGUAUCACCCAAGACAACUUUGCGGAGUUGACGAUUGACGGAGCGAAGCGACGUCAAAGCGUUCAUUAAAGUCGAGUUGGCUUAGGGAUACGUUCGUUGGGUAGGGGAGCGUUCUGUAAGCCUGUGAAGGUGGCCUGUGAGGGUUGCUGGAGGUAUCAGAAGUGCGAAUGCUGACAUAAGUAACGAUAAAGCGGGUGAAAAGCCCGCUCGCCGGAAGACCAAGGGUUCCUGUCCAACGUUAAUCGGGGCAGGGUGAGUCGACCCCUAAGGCGAGGCCGAAAGGCGUAGUCGAUGGGAAACGGGUUAAUAUUCCCGUACUUGGUGUUACUGCGAAGGGGGGACGGAGAAGGCUAUGUUGGCCGGGCGACGGUUGUCCCGGUUUAAGCGUGUAGGUGUGUGUUCCAGGUAAAUCCGGUUCACUUUAACACUGAGGCGUGAUGACGAGGCACUACGGUGCUGAAGCAACAAAUGCCCUGCUUCCAGGAAAA
rnacentral:rRNA from 1 species